rnacentral:rRNA from 1 species
GUAUCAAUAAGCCCAGGAGGAGAAACCAACAGGGAUUCCCACAGUAGCGGCGAGCGAAGCAGGAAGAGCUCAAUUUUGAAAUCUGGCGUGGCCCCCACGUCCGAGUUGUAAGUUCUAGAGACGUCGUCGCCUUGGCCCCAGUCGGAGUCCCUUGGAAUAGGGCGCCGUGGAGGGUGACAGCCCCUUGAGCGGCUGGGAGACCCGGGCCUUGCGUCACGUCCUCGAAGAGUCGGGUUGUUUGGGAAUGCAACUCAAAGCGGGUGGUAAAUUUCAUCUAAAGCUAAAUAUUGGCGAGAGACCGAUAGCGCACAAGUA